rnacentral:piRNA from 1 species
CCACAGCAAACUGGACUCACACCCGA